rnacentral:rRNA from 1 species
CCUACGGGUGGCUGCAGUGGGGAAUAUUGGGCAAUGGGCGCAAGCCUGACCCAGCAACACCGCGUGAAGGAAGAAGGUAUUGGGUAUCGUAACCUCCUUUCUCAGGGACGAAACAACUGACAGUAGCUGAGGAAUAAGCGUCGGUUAACUACGUGCCAGCACCAGCUGUAAUCCGGAGGUGGCAAUCGUUAUCCGGAUUUACGGGUUGUAAAGGGUGUUUAGGUGGGAAAGCAAGUCAGAUGUGAAAACCAUGGGGUCAACCUGUGGCCUGCAGUUGACACUGUUUUUCUUGAGUACUGGAGAGGCAGACGGAAUGCGUGGUGUAGCGGUGAAAUGCGUAGAUAUUAGGAAGAACACCAGUGGCGAAGGCGGUCUGCUGGACAGAAACUGACGCUGAGGCGCGAAAGCGUGGGGAGCAAACAGGAUUAGAUACCCCAGUAGUC